rnacentral:rRNA from 1 species
GCCAGAGCCAUAUUACCCUGCAGCUCUUGACUGGUUUCCCACUGAAGCUAAGCAGGGUUGAGCCUGGCUGGUACCUGAAUGGGAGACCUCCUGGGUAAAACUAAGAUUGCUGCUGGAA